GCAAGUCGAACGAGACCUUCGGGUCUAGUGGCGCACGGGUGCGUAACGCGUAGGCAAUCUACCCGAUACAGGGGAAUAACACGGGGAAACUCGUGCUAAUACCGCGUAAUAAAUGAGAAGGCAUCUUCUUAUUUUAAAAGCUUCGGCGGUAUCGGAAGAGCCUGCGUCCUAUUAGCUAGUUGGUAAGGUAACAGCUUACCAAGGCGACGAUAGGUAGGGGAACUGAGAGGUUGAUCCCCCACACUGGUACUGAGAUACGGACCAGACUCCUACGGGAGGCAGCAGUGAGGAAUAUUGGUCAAUGGACGGAAGUCUGAACCAGCCAUGUCGCGUGUCGGAAGACGGCCCUCUGGGUUGUAAACGGCUUUUCUUUGGGAAGAACACGCUCUUGCGAGAGCAACUGACGGUACCAAAGGAAUAAGCACCGGCUAACUACGUGCCAGCAGCCGCGGUAAUACGUAGGGUGCAAGCGUUGUCCGGAUUUAUUGGGUUUAAAGGGUGCGUAGGCGGCUAUUUAAGUCGUGGGUGAAAGCCCGUCGCUUAACGACGGAAUUGCCUGCGAUACUGGAUAGCUUGAGUAUCGUUAAGGUUGGCGGAAUGGGAGGUGUAGCGGUGAAAUGCAUAGAUACCUUCCAGAACACCGAUUGCGUAGGCAGCUGACUAGGCGAUAACUGACGCUGAGGCACGAAAGC
rnacentral:rRNA from 1 species